UUACUUACCCAGCAAGGGAGACACCACGAUCACGCAGGCAGUUUUCCCAGGGUGAGGCUCAUCCCUUGCACUUCAGGUGUGCUGACCCCUGCAAUUUCUCCAAAUGCAGGAAACUCGAAUGCAUAUUUUGUGGUAGUGGGGGGCCGCAUUCGCACUCAAU
rfam:Cuculus canorus isolate BGI_N303 unplaced genomic scaffold scaffold89, whole genome shotgun sequence.